UAUAUAUUUAUGGCAUGUUUUGCACACCCAUUCACUUUCUGAAACACUUUUAGUUCCUGUAAGAGUUUGAUCCAAUAUUUCUUGUGGAAUUCCUUUCUGCAUAUAAUGUUCUUUAGAACAGGCAUAAACACUAUGCUGGUAAAAUGUUUGCAUACAACAUGAGCAAAUGAAAUCAUCACUUCUUUUGAGCAAGUCUCUAAAUAUUUAAAUUUGGAUUUCAAUGUCACUUUUCUUUUUUAUCCUUGAAUGUCUGUUGAGAUGUGUUUCUUUUUUGUUCCUGUUAUAGGUAUGUCGCCAUUUUUGUCUACUUGUUUUUUCCUUAUCUCUAACUUCAGGUAUAACUCGUCUAUUUUGACGAGUUUUUCUUCUUUUAGCAUUACCCUGAUCUCUAACUUCAGGUAAACUGCGUCGUUUUUGACGUGUUAUAUUACUCCUAGCACUUUCUUGUUCUUUAACUUCAGGUAUACUGCGUCGUUUUUGACGUGUUAUAUUACUCCUAGCACUUUCUUGUUCUUUAACUUCAGGUAUACUGCGUCGUUUUUGACGUGUUAUAUUACUCCUAGCACUUUCUUGUUCUUUAACUUCAGGUAUACUGCGUCGUUUUUGACGUGUUAUAUUACUCCUAGCACUUUCUUGUUCUUUAACUUCAGGUAUACUGCGUCGUUUUUGACGUGUUAUAUUACUCCUAGCACUUUCUUGUUCUCUAACUUCAGGUAUACUGCGUCUAUCUUUACGAGUUUUUUGUCUUUUAGCAUUAC